UUGCUUUGGCAGCACAUACACUAAAAUUGGAACAAUACAGAGAUUAACAAGACCCCUGCACAAGGAUGACACGCAAUUCGUGAAGUGUUCCAUAUUAAA
rnacentral:snRNA from 1 species